UGGGGGAUAUUGCGGCAAUGGGGGAAACCCUGACGCAGCAACGCCGCGUGAAGGAUGAAGGUCUUCGGAUUGUAAACUUCUUUUAUUAAGGACGAAGAAUGACGGUACUUAAUGAAUAAGCUCCGGCUAACUACGUGCCAGCAGCCGCGGUAAUACGUAGGGAGCAAGCGUUGUCCGGAUUUACUGGGUGUAAAGGGUGCGUAGGCGGCAAAGCAAGUCAGAUGUGAAAUGUAUGGGCUCAACCCAUGAACUGCAUUUGAAACUGCAUUGCUUGAGUGAAGUAGAGGCAGGCGGAAUUCCCUGUGUAGCGGUGAAAUGCGUAGAGAUAGGGAGGAACACCAGUGGCGAAGGCGGCCUGCUGGGCUUUAACUGACGCUGAGGCACGAAAGCGUGGGUAGCAAACAGGAUUAGAUACCCUGGUAGU
rnacentral:rRNA from 1 species